UACAGAGGGUGCAAGCGUUGUUCGGAAUUAUUGGGCGUAAAGGGCGCGUAGGCGGCUUGGCAAGUGGAAGGUGAAAUCCCUCGGCUCAACUGAGGAACUGCCCUCCAAACUGCUUUGCUUGAGGCCGGGAGAGGUAAGUGGAAUUCCCGGUGUAGUGGUGAAAUGCGUAGAUAUCGGGAGGAACACCAGUGGCGAAGGCGGCCACCUGGACAGUAACUGACGCUGAGGCACGACAGCUGGGGGAGCAAACAGG
rnacentral:rRNA from 1 species